rnacentral:lncRNA from 1 species
UUUGCUCUCUUCCUGUUACAUAACAAUAAGCAAAGAGGGGCAGCUGUAACAAGCCAAAUUCGUCUGGGCCAAACCCAAAAAAAAACAAACUAAAAAAUAGUUAAAAUAAAAAAAAAAUAAAAGUCCAUUAACAGUCCAAAUUACAAGCCUAGGACCUAAUCUACUAACCUAAACCCUAAAGCCCAAUAACCCAAUAGCCGAAAGCCUACAAGCCCAAAACCUAAACAAACAAACCAAAAACCCUAAGUCCCAUUUAGCA